rnacentral:rRNA from 1 species
AUUGAACGCUGGCGGCAGGCCUAACACAUGCAAGUCGAGCGAGCGGCGGACGGGUGAGUAAUGUCUGGGAAACUGCCUGAUGGAGGGGGAUAACUACUGGAAACGGUAGCUAAUACCGCAUACCAUCAGAUGUGCCCAGAUGGGAUUAUCUAGUAGGUGGGGUAACGGCUCACCUAGGCGACGAUCCCUAGCUGGUCUGAGAGGAUGACCAGCCAAACUGAAACGCGGACACGGUCCAAAUCCCAACGGGAGGCAGCAGUGGGGAAUAUGGAACAUGGGGCGCAAGCCUGAUACAGCCAUGCCGGGUGGGUGAAAAGGGCCUUCGGGUUGUAAAGCACUUUCAGCGGGGAGGCGUUACCCGCAGAAGAAGCACCGGCUAACUCCGUGCCAGCAGCCGCGGUAAUUC